rnacentral:rRNA from 1 species
AAACCAGCACCUCAAGUGGUCAGGAGGAUUAUUGGGCCUAAAGCAUCCGUAGCCUGUUCUGUAAGUUUUCGGUUAAAUCCAUUAGCUCAACUAAUGGGCUGCCGAAAAUACUGUAGAACUAGGGAGUGGGAGAGGUAGACGGUAUUCGGUAGGAAGGGGUAAAAUCCUUUGAUCUAUUGAGGACCACCUGUGGCGAAGGCGGUCUACCAGAACACGUUCGACGGUGAGGGAUGAAAGCUGGGGGAGCAAACCGGAUUAGAAACACGUGUAGUCC